rnacentral:rRNA from 2 species
AUACAUGCAAGUCGAGCGGACAGAAGGGAGCUUGCUCCCGGAUGUUAGCGGCGGACGGGUGAGUAACACGUGGGUAACCUGCCUGUAAGACUGGGAUAACUCCGGGAAACCGGAGCUAAUACCGGAUAGUUCCUUGAACCGCAUGGUUCAAGGAUGAAAGACGGUUUCGGCUGUCACUUACAGAUGGACCCGCGGCGCAUUAGCUAGUUGGUGGGGUAAUGGCUCACCAAGGCGACGAUGCGUAGCCGACCUGAGAGGGUGAUCGGCCACACUGGGACUGAGACACGGCCCAGACUCCUACGGGAGGCAGCAGUAGGGAAUCUUCCGCAAUGGACGAAAGUCUGACGGAGCAACGCCGCGUGAGUGAUGAAGGUUUUCGGAUCGUAAAGCUCUGUUGUUAGGGAAGAACAAGUGCGAGAGUAACUGCUCGCACCUUGACGGUACCUAACCAGAAAGCCACGGCUAACUACGUGCCAGCAGCCGCGGUAAUACGUAGGUGGCAAGCGUUGUCCGGAAUUAUUGGGCGUAAAGGGCUCGCAGGCGGUUUCUUAAGUCUGAUGUGAAAGCCCCCGGCUCAACCGGGGAGGGUCAUUGGAAACUGGGAAACUUGAGUGCAGAAGAGGAGAGUGGAAUUCCACGUGUAGCG